CACGUAGGGUGCGAGCGUUGUCCGGAAUUAUUGGGCGUAAAGAGCUCGUAGGCGGUCUGUCGCGUCGGAUGUGAAAAUCCAGGGCUCAACCCUGGACCUGCAUUCGAUACGGGCAGACUAGAGUUCGGUAGGGGAGACUGGAAUUCCUGGUGUAGCGGUGAAAUGCGUAGAUAUCGAGAGGAACACCUGCGGCGAAGGCGGGUUGCUGGGCUGACACUGACGCUGAGGCGCGAAAGCUAGGGGAGCAAACGGG
rnacentral:rRNA from 1 species